rnacentral:rRNA from 1 species
CAGCAAUAUGUAGGCCAGGCAGAAGACCUAGCCUGAAUCGCUGAGAGGAGGUGCAUGGCCGUCGCCAGUUCGUACUGUGAAGCAUCCUGUUAAGUCAGGCAACGAGCGAGACCCGUGCCCACUGUUACCAGCAUAUCCUCCGGGAUGAUGGGUACUCUGUGGGGACCGCUGAUGUUAAAUCAGAGGAAGGUGCGGGCUACGGUAGGUCAGUAUGCCCCGAAUUUCCCGGGCUACACGCGGGCUACAAUGAAUGGGACAAUGGGCCCCUACCCUGAAAAGGUUUGGUAAUCUCACAAACCCAUCCGUAGUUCGGAUUGAGGGCUGUAACUCGCCCUCAUGAAGCUGGAAUCCGUAGUAAUCGCGUUUCAAUAUAGCGCGGUGAAUACGUCCCUGCUCCUUGCACACACCGCCCGUCAAACCACCCGAGUGAGGUAUGGGUAAGGGCACGAACUCUGUGUCAUGUUCGAACCUGUGCUUAGCAAGGGGGGUUAAGUCGUAACAAGGUAACCAAGGGCGAA